UACGUAGGGGGCAAGCGUUGUCCGGAAUUACUGGGCGUAAAGAGCGCGCAGGCGGUCGUUCAAGUCGAGUGUGAAAGCCCCCGGCUCAACUGGGGAGGGUCAUUCGAUACUGAUCGACUCGAAGGCAGGAGAGGGAAGUGGAAUUCCCGGUGUAGUGGUGAAAUGCGUAGAUAUCGGGAGGAACACCAGUGGCGAAGGCGACUUCCUGGCCUGUUCUUGACGCUGAGGCGCGAAAGCUAGGGGAGCAAACGGG
rnacentral:rRNA from 1 species